AUACGUAGGGGGCAAGCGUUAUCCGGAUUUACUGGGUGUAAAGGGAGCGCAGACGGCAUUGCAAGUCUGAAGUGAAAGCCCGGGGCUUAACUCCGGGACUGCUUUGGAAACUGUAGCGCUAGAGUGCAGGAGAGGCAAGUGGAAUUCCUAGUGUAGCGGUGAAAUGCGUAGAUAUUAGGAGGAACACCAGUGGCGAAGGCGGCUUGCUGGACUGUAACUGACGUUGAGGCUCGAAAGCGUGGGGAGC
rnacentral:rRNA from 1 species